rnacentral:rRNA from 1 species
GACGAACGCUGGCGGCGUGCUUAACACAUGCAAGUCGAACGAUGAACCCGGAGCUUGCUCUGGGGGAUUAGUGGCGAACGGGUGAGUAACACGUGAGUAACCUGCCCUGGACUCUGGGAUAAGCGUUGGAAACGACGUCUAAUACCGGAUAGGACCUUGGAUCGCAUGAUCUGGGGUGGAAAGUUUUUUCGGUCUGGGAUGGACUCGCGGCCUAUAAGCUUGUUGGUGAGGUAAUGGCUCACCAAGGCGUCGACGGGUAGCCGGCCUGAGAGGGUGACCGGCCACACUGGGACUGAGACAAGGGCCAGACUCCGACGGGAGGCAGCAGUGGGGAAUAUUGCACAAUGGGCGAAAGCCUGAUGCAGAAACGCCGCGUGCGGGAUGACGGCCGUCGGGUUGUAAACCGCUUUUAGUAGGGAAGAAGGGCUUCGGCUUGACGGUACCUGCAGAAAAAGGACCGGCUAACUACGUG